rnacentral:rRNA from 1 species
CCUACGGGCGGCAGCAGUGGGGAAUAUUUCACAAUGGGGGAAACCCUGAUGCAGCGACGCCGCGUGAGUGAAGAAGGCUUUCGGUAUGUAAAGCUCUAUCAGCAGGGAAGAAAAUGACGGUACCUGAUUAAUAAGCCCCGGCUAACUCCGUGCCAGCAGCCGCGGUCCUACGUAGGGGGCGAGCGUUAUCCGGAUUUACUGGGUGUAAAGAGAUCGUAGAAGGAAGCGCAAGUCUGAAGUGAAAUGCCGGGGCUUAACCCCGGAACUGCUUUGGAAACUGUGAAGCUAGAGUGCAGGAGAGGUAAGUGGAAUUCCUAGUGUAGCGGUGAAAUGCGUAGAGAUCAAGAGGAACACUCAUUGCGAAGGCGACCUGCUAGAACAUAACUGACGCUGAGGCGCGAAAGCGUGGGGAGCAAACAGGAUUAGAUACCCGGGUAGUC